rnacentral:pre_miRNA from 1 species
AAGGAGCUAUUCGCGACCACUCAUGAUUCAUGAAAAUGAAGUGGCAGUGGAUAGCUCCUUUGA